rnacentral:rRNA from 1 species
AUGACGAUGAAUACCAAUCCCCUCAAGGUGAUAGUGUGGAAUGUUAGGGGCCUCAACGCACCUGCUAGGCGUAACGCGGUCCUUCAGGUGGUGAACGCAGCUGGCCCGGCCAUUGUGUGCCUUCAAGAAACUAAAUUGCAACAUGUCUCGGACAUCUUUGUACGGCAGUGCCUCGGAAAUAAAUUUGAUAAGUUCUUUUACUUGCCGGCUCUUGGAACGCGUGGGGGUAUCCUAAUAGCUUGGGAUGCUUCGGUCACCCAACUAUCAAACCCCCACUUCACUAACCAUACGGCUACGGCUCUCGUAAAAUGCCCGGAGGAUGAACAUCCGUGGUGGCUCACUUGUGUCUACGGGCCGCAGGAGGAGUGUGACAAAGUGGAAUUCUUACAG